AUGUUUUAUGGUUUCUUUUUAAGUAAAACAGUUCAUUUGUCAUUAAAUAUUGAAUGUUAACGGGUGAACUAGAAUUCGGAUAUUUCACAUUUCGUACGCUGCUAUACAAGUUAGUUGUCGACGCAAUAUCCUGAUAUGCCUUUUGCGCAUAAAGUUUUGAAGUUUUUUUCUAUCUAAUGAAUAAUAAAUAAUACACUGUAUAAUGUCUGCAAUAUCUGCUCCAACGAUUAUAAGUCAUAAACUUUGCAAUCCCAACAUUUAAAUAUCAAUGUUCUGUCAAAAUUAGAUUUAUGAAUUGUACAGUAAUAUAUACAGUAGCUGAGCAACAUAAAUCUCACACUGCACGGUGAGAUGCAAGGUAGCAAAGUUAUAUUCUGAUCUAGUUAUGCUCUUGCCAAAUGACAAUGUUAUUUUAAUGACCCUGUAUCACACUGUACAAUGUCACUUGUCAGUCAGAAGUGGCUUAACUAAUAGUGUUAAAUCAUAAAACAUGUGAAUUAAAUAGAUGUCCCAAUCAUUCAACAAAGUUAGUGAAACACAUUUCACAUAUUAACGUAUAGUUCAUUUGCAGGUUCAUUGAGAUUGUGUCAAAAUGGCUUGGGUCCACACACACGACGCCUCUGUCUUUGUCCGUGGUUUGAAGACUUUUCUGGAAGAAAACCACAAGAGACACCUACUGGGGGACUCCGGCUAUCAACAAUAGGUACAACAAUGCCCAGUCAAGUGUACUGUGGUUAAUAGGGCUUUUGGACUGCCAAAGAGUAGACUUUGGUGUCGACAUAAAACUGGCGGUUGUUUAUUCAUGAGACUCGAUGAGUACUGUCAAGCAGUGGCUGCAUGAAUGCGCCUGCACAACUUAUGCAUAGAUUAGCAGGUGCCACUGCCUGAACAACUUACUGAGGCACAAGAAGUGGAUGACGUUGUGCACAGUCCACAACAGGACCAAAAUGCAGCUUAUAUAAACACCACAUCAUUAACUUAUUUAUGUACUUGCUGUUUUAUGCUCACAUGUGCACGAAGUGCUAUAGGUGAGUCAUUGUGGUCAGUCUAUGUUCGGCGACAUGUGUUAAUAUUCAAUAUUUGACUCUUUGUUGAUGAAAGAUGGUCAUUAUGUUUCUGCUAAUGAUACAUAAUAACUUAAUACGUUAAUGAUUUCUUGUCUAUGAGCUGCUGCAUUUCGGUCAAGUGUGGUCAACAUCUUUGUAAAAGUGUGGAUAUUGACAAUUUCUGCCGUUCUUUUUUGGAUUUUUUUCAUUAAAGACACACUUUUUACAAUAUUCAUUUAUGCAAUGCGUAAGAUGAUAACAUGUUUCCUCUAUAGUAUAACAAAGUGAAAAUAAAUUCUAUUCCUUUAUUUAAUUAUCUUUGUAACAUAACAAUACAGGGUUUUCUCCAACAACUCUACAGCUAGGGAACAAUG